rnacentral:rRNA from 1 species
CUGUAUAAAAAACGCAACGUUGGCGGUGUGCGUAAUUCGUGCUCGUGCGUAGCGGAAGGAGGGGAGCUUGCGUCCCGGAUGUUAGCGGCGGACGGGUGAGUAACACGUGGGUAACCUGCCUGUAAGACUGGGAUAACUCCGGGAAACCGGAGCUAAUACCGGAUAGUUCCUUGAACCGCAUGGUUCAAGGAUGAAAGACGGUUUCGGCUGUCACUUACAGAUGGACCCGCGGCGCAUUAGCUAGUUGGUGGGGUAAUGGCUCACCAAGGCGACGAUGCGUAGCCGACCUGAGAGGGUGAUCGGCCACACUGGGACUGAGACACGGCCCAGACUCCUACGGGAGGCAGCAGUAGGGAAUCUUCCGCAAUGGACGAAAGUCUGACGGAGCAACGCCGCGUGAGUGAUGAAGGUUUUCGGAUCGUAAAGCUCUGUUGUUAGGGAAGAACAAGUGCGAGAGUAACUGCUCGCACCUUGACGGUACCUAACCAGAAAGCCACGGCUAACUACGUGCCAGCAGCCGCGGUAAUACGUAGGUGGCAAGCGUUGUCCGGAAUUAUUGGGCGUAAAGGGCUCGCAGGCGGUUUCUUAAGUCUGAUGUGAAAGCCCCCGGCUCAACCGGGGAGGGUCAUUGGUAAACUGGGAAACUUGAGUGCAGAAGAGGAGAGUGGUAUUUCCACGUGUAGCGGUGAACUGCGUAGAGAUGUGGAGGAACACCAGUGACGAAGGCGACUCUCUGGUCUGUAACUGACGCUGAGGAGCGAAAGCGUGGGGAGCGAACAGGAUUAGAUACCCUGGUAGUCCCCCCGUAACGAUGAUGCUAAGUGUUAGGGGUUCCGCCCUUAGUGCUGCAGCUAACGAUUAAGCACCCCCCUGGGAGUAAGUCGCAGACUGAAAUCAAAGAAUUGACGGGGCCGCCCACGCGGUGAACUGGGUUUUAUUCGAAGAAACGA